rnacentral:SRP_RNA from 1 species
GCCGGGCAUGGUGGCUCAUGCCUGUAAUCCCAGCACUUUAGGAGGCCGAGGUGGGUGGAUCACCUGAGGUCAGGAGUUCAAGACCAGCCUGACCAACAUGGUGAAACCCCGUUUCUA